rfam:Anopheles darlingi Cont3353, whole genome shotgun sequence.
GUGGGGUACGGGGAUAUGGCACCGAAGACCUACAUUGGUAUGUUCGUUGGUGCACUGUGUGCGUUGGCCGGUGUAUUGACGAUCGCCCUGCCCGUACCGGUUAUCGUCAGCAAC